AACGCUGGCGGAGGCUAACACAUGCAUGUCGAGCGCGCCUUCGGGUGAGCGGCGGACGGGUUAGUAACGCGUGGGAACGUGCCCUUCUCUACGGAAUAGCCUCUGGAAACGGAGAGUAAUACCGUAUACGCCCUUUGGGGGAAAGAUUUAUCGGAGAAGGAUCGGCCCGCGUUAGAUUAGGUAGUUGGUGGGGUAACGGCCUACCAAGCCUACGAUCUAUAGCUGGUUUUAGAGGAUGAUCAGCAACACUGGGACUGAGACACGGCCCAGACUCCUACGGGAGGCAGCAGUGGGGAAUCUUAGACAAUGGGGGCAACCCUGAUCUAGCCAUGCCGCGUGAGUGAUGAAGGCCUUAGGGUCGUAAAGCUCUUUCGCCUGUGAUGAUAAUGACAGUAGCAGGUAAAGAAACCCCGGCUAACUCCGUGCCAGCAGCCGCGGUAAUACGGAGGGGGUUAGCGUUGUUCGGAAUUACUGGGCGUAAAGCGCGCGUAGGCGGAUUAGAAAGUUGGGGGUGAAAUCCCGGGGCUCAACCCCGGAACUGACUCCAAAACUGCUAGUCUAGAGUUCGAGAGAGGUGAGUGGAAUUCCGAGUGUAGAGGUGAAAUUCGUAGAUAUU
rnacentral:rRNA from 1 species